UACAAGAAUAGCAAAGCAUUGGAG
rnacentral:misc_RNA from 1 species